UACAGAGGGUGCGAGCGUUAAUCGGAAUUAUUGGGCGUAAAGGGCUCGUAGGCGGUUUGUCGCGUCGGGAGUGAAAUCCACUGGCUUAACUGGUGGCUUGCUUUCGAUACGGGCAGACUGGAGGUAUGCAGGGGAGAACGGAAUUCCUGGUGUAGCGGUGAAAUGCGCAGAUAUCAGGAGGAACACCGGUGGCGAAGGCGGUUCUCUGGGCAUGUCCUGACGCUGAGGAGCGAAAGUGUGGGGAGCGAACAGG
rnacentral:rRNA from 1 species